ACGCUGGCGGCAUGCCUUACACAUGCAAGUCGAACGGCAGCACGGGAGCAAUCCUGGUGGCGAGUGGCGAACGGGUGAGUAAUAUAUCGGAACGUGCCCAGUCGUGGGGGAUAACGCAGCGAAAGCUGUGCUAAUACCGCAUACGAUCUAUGGAUGAAAGCGGGGGAUCGCAAGACCUCGCGCGAUUGGAGCGGCCGAUAUCAGAUUAGCUAGUUGGUGGGGUAAAAGCCCACCAAGGCGACGAUCUGUAGCUGGUCUGAGAGGACGACCAGCCACACUGGAACUGAGACACGGUCCAGACUCCUACGGGAGGCAGCAGUGGGGAAUUUUGGACAAUGGGCGCAAGCCUGAUCCAGCAAUGCCGCGUGCAGGAUGAAGGCCUUCGGGUUGUAAACUGCUUUUGUACGGAACGAAACGGUCUUCUCUAAUACAGAGGGCUAAUGACGGUACCGUAAGAAUAAGCACCGGCUAACUACGUGCCAGCAGCCGCGGUAAUACGUAGGGUGCGAGCGUUAAUCGGAAUUACUGGGCGUAAAGCGUGCGCAGGCGGUGAUGUAAGACAGAUGUGAAAUCCCCGGGCUCAACCUGGGACCUGCAUUUGUGACUGCAUCGCUGGAGUGCGGCAGAGGGGGAUGGAAUUCCGCGUGUAGCAGUGAAAUGCGUAGAUAUGCGGAGGAACACCGAUGGCGAAGGCAAUCCCCUGGGCCUGCACUGACGCUCAUGCACGAAAGCGUGGGGAGCAAACAGGAUUAGAUACCCUGGUAGUCCACGCCCUAAACGAUGUCAACUGGUUGUUGGGUCUUCACUGACUCAGUAACGAAGCUAACGCGUGAAGUUGACCGCCUGGGGAGUACGGCCGCAAGGUUGAAACUCAAGGGAAUUGACGGGGACCCGCACAAGCGGUGGAUGAUGUGGUUUAAUUCGAUGCUACGCGAAAAACCUUACCCACCUUUGACAUGUAUGGAAUCCUUUAGAGAUAGAGGAGUGCUCGAAAGAGAGCCAUAACACAGGUGCUGCAUGGCUGUCGUCAGCUCGUGUCGUGAGAUGUUGGGUUAAGUCCCGCAACGAGCGCAACCCUUGUCAUUAGUUGCUACAUUUAGUUGGGCACUCUAAUGAGACUGCCGGUGAUAAACCGGAGGAAGGUGGGGAUGACGUCAAGUCCUCAUGGCCCUUAUAGGUGGGGCUACACACGUCAUACAAUGGCUGGUACAAAGGGUUGCCAACCCGCGAGGGGGAGCUAAUCCCAUAAAACCAGUCGUAGUCCGGAUCGCAGUCUGCAACUCGACUGCGUGAAGUCGGAAUCGCUAGUAAUCGUGGAUCAGAAUGUCACGGUGAAUACGUUCGAAAG
rnacentral:rRNA from 1 species